GCGGGAAUAGCUCAAUUGGCAGAGCACUUGCCUUCCAAGUAAGAUGUUGGGAGUUCGAGCCUCCUUUCCCGCUCCA
rnacentral:tRNA from 1 species